rnacentral:tmRNA from 1 species
GGGGGUGUCCUGGCUUCGACGGGGGUAGCGAGAUUAUUUGGCGCAUGCCGAGGGGGCGACUUUCCUCGUUAAUCCAGUAGCAAAAUUUAGUUGCCAACGACGACAACUACGCUUUAGCCGCUUAAGGCUUCGCCCUGAACCCACUUGUGUCUGUGCUCGUGGAUGUAAGGUCAUUAUCACAGAAUCGUUUAGGGUGGCGACCCGCCAACCCAAGACUAGACUUAGCGGGUAUGUCUGACGGUGUGCCUCGCACGUUGUGUUGCCGGCUGACGAGAACGAACAACGAGCUAAGCAUGUAGUGCUGGAAAUGGAGCACUUUCGGACGCGGGUUCAACUCCCGCCACCUCCACCA